rnacentral:rRNA from 1 species
AGCGGCGGACGGGUGAGUAAUGUCUGGGAAACUGCCUGAUGGAGGGGGAUAACUACUGGAAACGGUAGCUAAUACCGCAUAACGUCGCAAGACCAAAGUGGGGGACCUUCGGGCCUCAUGCCAUCAGAUGUGCCCAGAUGGGAUUAGCUAGUAGGUGGGGUAAUGGCUCACCUAGGCGACGAUCCCUAGCUGGUCUGAGAGGAUGACCAGCCACACUGGAACUGAGACACGGUCCAGACUCCUACGGGAGGCAGCAGUGGGGAAUAUUGCACAAUGGGCGCAAGCCUGAUGCAGCCAUGCCGCGUGUAUGAAGAAGGCCUUCGGGUUGUAAAGUACUUUCAGCGAGGAGGAAGGCGUUAAGGUUAAUAACCUUAGUGAUUGACGUUACUCGCAGAAGAAGCACCGGCUAACUCCGUGCCAGCAGCCGCGGUAAUACGGAGGGUGCAAGCGUUAAUCGGAAUUACUGGGCGUAAAGCGCACGCAGGCGGUCUGUUAAGUCAGAUGUGAAAUCCCCGGGCUCAACCUGGGAACUGCAUUUGAAACUGGCAGGCUUGAGUCUUGUAGAGGGGGGUAGAAUUCCAGGUGUAGCGGUGAAAUGCGUANAGAUCUGGAGGAAUACCGGUGGCGAANGCGGCCCCCUGGACAAAGACUGACGCUCANGUGCGAAAGCGUGGGGAGCAAAACAGGAUUAGAUACCCUGGUAGUCCACGCUGUA